rnacentral:pre_miRNA from 1 species
UUACAUGCCUAAGUAGUAGUGCCGCAUUUAACAGAAAUAAUAAUUGGGUUUAAGUGCAGACUGCUGCUUAAGCACGGAG